UACGAGAGGCCCAAACGUUAUUCGGAAUUACUGGGCUUAAAGAGUUCGUAGGCGGCGCAGAAAGUAGGGUGUGAAAGCCCUCGGCUCAACCGAGGAAUUGCGCUCUAAACUACUGUGCUUGAGGAAGCUAGAGGUGAGCAGAACAGAUGGUGGAGCGGUGAAAUGCGUUGAUAUCAUCUGGAAUACCGGAGGCGAAGGCGGCUCACUGGGGCGUUUCUGACGCUGAGGAACGAAAGCCAGGGUAGCGAACGGG
rnacentral:rRNA from 1 species